CCGGAGCAGAGGCCUGGCAAGCCCAAGACACAGCGGAACGGAUAGAAGCGCUCGGGGUCGGUGUGCCCAGCGCAGACUCUCUGAGAAACCGGCUUCAGCGUCACUGUCUUCAGAUCCUGGGAAAUGAUGAGAUCUGGAUUGUAGCUCUUCUAUGUGAGAUUGAACCCAGGCCAUGGCAGUGAAAGGCCAGCAUCCUAACCACUAGGCCACCAGGGAACUUCAGAACCAAACUGGAAUGACUAUGAAAACCUGAAAUGACUAUGAAAUUGUUGGGUUACAUGAUAUUACACCACGUGGGAUGGGAGAACUGGACAAAGCAGUUACUAGGGAAAAGAAAAGUUCAAAACAACAAAAUUAAGAACAAAAACUCUGUGUCUGGGGACUGGAGAUUCUUAGCUGAACGAGUGGUAUUCUUGGGGGCAUUGUCGUGGUCCUCUUUUUCCAGAGGCAUAUGGGAGGGGUCUUGGGGUGGGAGACUCUUGUGAUAUUUCCUGGGAGGAAACUCCAUCCAGCUCUCUCUACUCCUGGUUUAGACAAGCACAACCCUUGCUGUGAAGGGAGUCCUUACAAAUACCCAGCUGUCUUCCUAGUUGUAAACCCAGACAUGUUUUUGAAAAAUAUCUGACCAAAUAUCUAAAGCCCAAGUCAUCUACUUCUGUCUGACUUCUAUUUCCCUGCAAGGCUGCAAGAAGGAUUUCCCUAAGCUGUCAUUGACUUUGAAUCUAUUUUCUUGUAUUCUGUAGUCAGAAAUAGAUUGAACUCCAGUUCUGACCCACCAGACAACUGGUCUACCACCUUCCUGCCAGUCACUGUGCCAGGCAUGGGAACCUCUUGCAGCUUUCACAAGAAGAGUCAGGGAUGCAAACAGAUGAAACAUGAUGAAGGCAGAGUGCAAGAAAUGCCUGAAAAGAAAGAUACAGAUGCCUGGAAAGUGCCCAGCAGAGAGCCUGGCAUUGGAAAUAUCCUAUAUAAUUACUAUCGAUAUGGAUGAGUUACAGUUCCAUUUCCUCAGGGUGAUGGAGGAAGAAUCCCCCAAAGGGAGGUGAACUGAGUUGGUGACAGCCUCUUCCUUACCUUUGAAUUUCUUCAGGCUCUUUGUGAGGGAAUCAUGUCGUGAUUUGAUGUCACUGAGUUUUUUCUCUAGGUCCAUUGAAACAGGGGUUGGGUUGAGAAAGCGAAAUGCUUCACUCCUAGGAAGAUAUGGCUGAACUGGAUGGUGAGAUCAAGGGAUGGGGUGCAGGGGAGAAAGAGCUGUGACAAAGAGGUGGGGAUGAGGUGAUGGAGCCUUGAGGGUGGGGAAGGAAAUCAGUGAGCUGAGAGUCAGGAGGCCAGGGCUAGGGAUAUGGGGCCAGGGUGAGGUGGGACAUAGUGUGAUAUGGAAAUGCAGAUGGGAGAUAAGCUAGAAAAAAGCAGAGAGGAAGAGGGCAGAGAGAUGGGGUAGGGGACCCAGGAGCCAUCUAGUUGGGCAAGGGGUCAUGCAGGAAGUGCAAGGAAAUAGGAGAAUCUGUGAUGAAGAAAUUGGAACAUAAAGAAAACAGCUCUUCUUUUGAGUAACCAACUCAGCUUAAGCUGCAGCCUAAGUACCUGACUGCAGUUAGACAGAGUAGACAGGAACUUGGGAGGGAAGAAUGUUGAGUACUUGAAUGUAUGUUAAGUAUUGUAAGAUGAAUGAAUCAGUGGGCAAAAUGCACUUGGGGUGGCCCAUCAUACCUGCACAAGGCAAUUUUGAUGUCCUAGAAGAGAAAGAGAAACAGCACAGUCUUAGCACUUGGCUGAUUCAUGGGAGCCAAGGAGAAGGUACCAACCAUGCAGGGCAUGGGGUAGAACAGGUGGAAUGAGAACAUCUCUCUUCCUAUAUGAACAUCUCCACAAAAGGUUCCUCCAGGAAGUGUCCAAUAUGCCAGUAGGCAGGAAAAUGAUCAGACCUCGAGAGGAACUAACUGAGUUGUUUGAAAAUAAGUUUUGUCUCUGAGACUACACCAGAGAAGGGAGAAGAGAGACAGGAAAAGGGCUGGAAUGGCUUUGUGGGGUCUUCCUUUAAAAAAAAAAAGAAAAGAAAUGGAUUUCUGAACUAGUGGGAAUGGGAGAUGGAUUCAGGAGGGAGCUCAGCUUAUCCUGUGUAUCACCUAGACCGCACUGUCCAGUAUGGCAGCCACCAGUCACACAUGGCUAUUGAACACUUUGAAACAUGGCUAGUACGACAAGGAACCAAAUUUUUAAAUUUUAUGAGAGUCACCAAUCCAAAUUUAAAUUAAAAAAAAAACUGAAAUAGUAUAAAAUACUUUUUCCAUUGACCACAACUAUAUUGAUUUGGUCAGAGUACAUUUAAUUCAACCAUUCAAAAUAUGAUGUCUGAACUGAGAUCUGCCAAACAUAUACCAGAUUUUAAAGACUCAAUUUUUUUAAAGGAAGAGGUUCAUAAAAUAUUUCAUUAAUACUUUAAAAAUAUUGGUUAAUGAUUGAAAUUAUAAUACUUUGGAUAUAUUGGGUAAAAUAAAAUAUUUCACUUAAUUUUACCUGUGUCUCUUUACCCUUCUAAUGUGACUACAAGAAAAAAGUUUAAGUCAUAUUUGUGGCUUGCAAAAUAAUUCUAAAUUACACAUAUAGCUCACAUUGUACUUCUAAAUUAUAUACAUUGUGUGAAAUAUAUUUGUAAAUUAUGGCUCACACAGUAUUUCUAUUGGGCAGCACUGAGCUGGGGGAAGGAAGAUAGAGGCAACUCUGGUAUCCUGCCACGUGGUCGGUGCUCUGAUCUGUAACUAGGGAUGGGUCACUGUGUUUUUACAACUUGGUCCCCAAGGGACACUCACCUGGAGCAGCUGGCCUGGCGGCAAACACUGCCUGGACUUCAGGGAAUCCUUCAGCUUCCUGAGAUAGUUCAGCUGCGACUUGGUGGAAAUGACAUAUAAUUUCUCCCCCUUGGAGAUCUCCUGACCCAGCCAGUUGAUUCGGGACAAGAGGAAGCUCUUCUCCUCUUUUAGCACCUUACGCAGUUGUCUGAAGGCUUCGAUGACCAUCUCCUUCUCUAAUUCCACCUGGUACUGGGGGCAAGAAAGUGGACAUUCAGAAGAUGAGAGGAUGGCCUCAAAGUUCCUUCUAUCCCAUUUUAUUCAAUGUUAUCAUUUUAUUAGGUUUAUUCUGAGCAACAUGCAAUGGCAGACACGGAGGAAAGGAAAUGGGAGGCGAACAAGCUUUUGAAAGCCCUUACUAUGUGCCUUGUUUUCAUUUUAGGUUAUUUAUUCAUAUUUUUUGCCUUCAAGGAUAGGUAGCUAAUACUUAAUACCUAAGUAUUAAGUAUUCAUAUUUCCAGUAGGCUUUUCAGUUUAUAAUUUGCUUUCACAUAGAUUUUUUUUUCCUUUGUACACACACCCACACACAAAACAGAUACAGAUAUUUGAGUGGGUUCAUAGCGUUUUCAUUUUCUAACUUGAGAAGUCAGUUUCUAGGUAAGUAAGGGACUGUGAGGGGCAGAAAUGGGUCUUAAAACUGGUAUUUCCUAUUCUAAGACCAGCACCAGUUUUCCUUACACUACCUGUCCCCAGGUGGAGGAGACCAAAGCAGUCAACCUACUCCAAUAACAUGAGGCUGGACGUGGAAGAUGCUAACACUGGCAAACCAAACGCUGUAGAGGAGGAGAAGGCUGGAGCACACCCUUACCCCCGAUGCCACAAUUCUUUCUGUCCCUCCUAUAGUCUAUCCCAUUCUGUAUCUGUUCCUUUGUCAAUAAGGUCUUUUUGAGUGGUCAGUGUAAUAAGGAGUUCUAGGAGUUUUGCAGAGAUACUAUUUCUGCUUUCAAGCUCAUAGACAGAGAGACCCGCACCUGAGUUUUUCUUACCAUGGAGACUUUGAUACACUGUUCACCUUGUGCCAUUGCCUGAAUUAUCUCCCUCUCCUUUUGCUGCAAGACCUCGAUUUGUGAUUGGAUCCGCCCCUGUGGGGAGAGAGUUGUCUUGGCAAGUCGUGCCUGGAGAUCUCCUGACCUCAUGAUGCCCUCCUUAUUUCUUGGGAUGGAGGGCAAGUCCUUGUGUCAUUAUUAAUAGAUCCCCCUUUCCUGUUCAAGCUGGGGGCUGGGGUGUGACGGGGGAGGAAGAACUAUGGAGCCUAAGUGACCUACAAGAAAGGAAUGUGGUAAUAAAUUAUAACUAAUAAAUUAUGACUAAUAUUUGGAUGUGCUUUGGGGUUAUCAAAGGACUUUAACAAACCUUCUCUCAUUUGUCAUACCUACGACUCUUAAGAAGUACAAUUUGUUUGACCCAUUUAAAGAGGAGGCACCUGGAUCUCAGAGAGGUAAAGUGACUCCUUGAAGGAUCUACAAAAAGUUCAUGAGUCUGAACCUGAACCUACACUUCUGACUCGAAAUUCCGUGUUCUUUCCAUCUCCAUUAUACCUUCGUUGCAACAAACAUCAGUUCUCCAGCCUUAGACUUUUGAACCUACGGGCCUGACUGCAAAUUUUCUACUCAGGUGCAAAGAUGGGGCCAUGGGUACAAACCCAGAGGGAGGAAAUGACAGUUUCCAGGUCCUCACUGAACUCUUGAUCUGAUGGGGGAACAGGGAAGGGACCCCAAAAUGCCUACCUGAUAAUUCUGGGCAGCUUCUUCUAUCAGAGUUGUGUUGUGGGUUUUGUGGUCCUUGGAUUCACGACACACCACGCAGAGGAACUUGCCAUCGACUUCACAGAAGUAAUGACAUUUCUCUCCAUGCCUUAGACAUCUCAGCUCUUCGGUUUCUGGCUGCAUCUCCGAGGGAUCCAUAGCUUGGAUUUUCUCCACCAGAUUUACCAAGAGCCAGUUGGGCGUGAUCAUGUCCCUCUUCACAAUUUUGUUGCAGAUAGGACAUUUAAGAACGCUGUCUGCUGCUUCCCCGCUCUGAGUGAUGCAACUGAGGCAGAAGUUGUGCCCGCAGUCAAUGGUAGCAGGGUGCUGCAGAAUAUCCAAGCAUAUGGGGCAAAUCAUUUCUUCUUGAAGCUUACCGGUAAACUGUUGAUGGGCCAUGAUGGGGCCAAAGGCUUCUUCAAGUCUGUAGGAAGUCGAGAAAUCAGCUGUGGGCACUGAUUCUAAGAAAAGAGAAGAUAACAGAGGCAAUGGAGGUCAGAGUCUAUUAAUUAGAGAAUCAGAGAGAGAGGAAAAGGAGAGAGGAAAAAAACAAUAGUAGAAAAGAGUCAAAAUUAGAAGGUAGGAAAUAUUAUAAAGAGGGAAACAGAUGGACAAUGCUACUUCACUGCCUCUUAAGAAUGAAUAGAUGUAGUAAAUGAAUAUACACUGCUUAUAAAAUGAGGUAAGUAUUCCUGAACCUUGGACUACUUAAGGGUGUUUAUGAGGCAGUUAACUGAGAUUAGAAGGACCAGGGCACCAAAGUCCUUUCUCAGAGGUUCAGGGAAGGAGUGGAUGGACUGGAAAAUGCUUCCCAAAAGGUCACAGACAGUUCACCAGUAAUGAUUUGAGCAUCUCUUUCAUGCAGAGCCCAAACCUUGGGAGAACAUAUGAAAAGGAAGGGAGUAAUUCUCUAUCUCUUGUAAUUUAGUUCCACACUUUUAACUAUUUUGUGCAAAUGUGGAAAAUAUUGAAGGAGGAAACAGACAGAGCUGGACUCCAUCUUAGGCCAGGCUGCGAACAUUAGGCUACACGCAUGGUCACCCUCCCAAUGGACUCUGAACUUUGUGUCCGGCGUCUAUAGAAAUGGCAUACCAAUGGAAAACCAGACCCCCGGAUAAAAGAGCCUCAGGACUUGUACUUGGACUCUCCGUUGCCUAAAAGAAUAUGCUAAUUAUCUCUAUAACAGAACAAAGUCGUAAAUUCCAUUAAGUUUUUCGGGAUAUGACCACAGUCCUGUUGAUAAAUGUCCACUGUUUAUCUAGUUUUGUGACACAUGAAUCAUGGGCUAACUUUGAUCGUAUCUCUGUUUCACCUUGUCCAGACUAGUUUCAAGGAAUUUGGGGAGGUGGGUUUGAGCAAGAACACUUAAGGUAUAUAAGGUUUUCACAAAAACUGGUCAGGGUCCUUGGCUAAGAGGAGACUCUGCCUUGGGCCCACCGCUGUAAUAAACUGCACUCCACUAUCUGCAUUGUCCUUCUGAGUGGGUUUGUUUCCUGGAAUGCAUGGCUACAAUAUAAUCACCCGCUCAGGGAGUUUCCAGUUAAAAGGAGAGGCAACCAUUCCUCCCCUGGGGAGAUUCCUAGUACAGUGGGACCAGCGAGGAACUUCCUUGCUGAAAGGUCAUUCUCUGUUCUCCAUCCUAGUUGUUACUUCCCAGCAGCACCUGGAUCAGUCUGUCCUUUUUUUUUUCCCAAACAUCUUCAACACUCUGCUGUGUCCAUGCUCAUUCGUUUUUUCUGUGUUUCUUCCUGCUUCUUGGUGCUUACUUGAUCCCUGGAUUGCCUUCCCCCAACCACCACCACCAACACUCCCUUCUGUAGCUCCACACAUUUGCAUCACAACCUUUGCUCCUUCCCUCUUAUAUAAGGGAAGGGUCCUUCCUCUCUUCCCAUUUCAUCUGGAUCCCAGCUGCCACACUUAUCUCCUCUCUCUCUCCAGCAUCUGCCAUCUGUCUCCCUCAAGAAACACAUCUUUCAUCUUUAUCUGAUCUUAAUAUUUAGGUCAGACAGGCAUUAUGGGUAAUUUAUGAUUAUAAUCAGAGUGAUUGUAUAUUUUGGCUUACUUUGGGACAGUGCUGGGUUUCACGUUGACCUGAUGUAAUGAAUAGAUCAUCCUUCCAUUCUCAAAAGUAUCCAGGUUGGAUGAUGAAUAUAUGGUUGCCUUAAUUAUAGAAACUGUUGGAAGCCAAGGCUUUCAGCAGUGUUAUACCUUCAUUUCAGAAAUGUUAUGAAAAGGCCUUCCUCUUUGUUUCCUUUGAGGUGAAAUUAAAGCAUCUUGACACUUGUAUAAUAUUUUAUAGUUUAUUCUCAUCCUAAACUGCUGUCCCCUGGAGGCAGAAUUUAACUUAUAGGUAGGUUUCAUUUGACAUAGUGAUUUUAGACAUAAUUUGUAUGACUUUAGAGAGGAUGGAUGUUUUAUUUUCCCUACCACUUCUUACUGCCUCUUGUCUGCCUGGGUCCUGAAGACAUCUCACUUUCGCCCACCCCCAGCUUUAUUGAUAUAAUGGACAUAUAGCAUUGUGAAGGCUUAAUGUGAUGUGAUGAUUUGGCACAUGUACAUAUUGUGAGAUGUUUACCACAAUAAGGUUAGUUAACACAUCCUUCACCUCACAUAAAUAACUUUUUUGUUGUUGUCAUUGCUAUGGUGAGAGCAUUAAAGAUCUAUUUUUGUAGCAACUUUUGAGUAUUUAAUAAACUAUUGUCACACACUGUA